rnacentral:rRNA from 1 species
GGCGAACGCUGGCGGCGUGCCUAAUACAUGCAAGUUGAGCGCUGAAGGUUGGUACUUGUACCAACUGGAUGAGCAGCGAACGGGUGAGUCACGCGUGGGGAAUCCGCCUUUGAGCGGGGGACAACAUUUGGAAACGCAUGCUAAUACCGCAUAAAAACUUUAAACACAUGUUUUAAGUUUGAAUGAUGCAAUUGCAUCACUCAAAGAUGAUCCCGCGUUGUAUUAGUUAGUUGGUGAGGUAAAGGCUCACCAAGGCGAUGAGACAUAGCCGACCUGAGAGGAUGGUCGGCCACACUGGGACGGAGACACGGCACAAACUCCCAGGGGAGGCAGCAGUAGUGAAUCUUCGGCAAUGGACGAAAGAUGUACCAAGCAACGCCGCGGGAGGGAAGAAGGUUGUCGGAUCGGAAAACUCUGUUGGUAGGGAAGAACGUUGGUGAGAGUGGAAAGCUCAUAAAGUGACGGUAACUACUCAGAAAGAGACGGCUAACUACGUG